UAGCCGUAAACGAUACUCGCUAGGUGUCGGCCACGGUGCGACCGUUGUCGGUGCCGUAGGGAAGCCGUGAAGCGAGCCACCUGGGAAGUACGGCCGCAAGGCUGAAACUUAAAGGAAUUGGCGGGGGAGGCACCACAACGGGUGGAGCUUGCGGUUUAAUUUGGAUUCAACGCCGGAAUACUUACCGGGACCGGACAGCAACAUGAAGGCCAGGCUGAAGGACUUUGUCCGGAUUAGCUGAGAGGAGGUGCAUGGCGUAGUCGUGU
rnacentral:rRNA from 1 species